UUACCACGGUAAGAUGUACCUGUCCAGUCAGCACAUCUGCUUCCACUCGUCUGUGCUGCUGAAGGACACCCGGGUGAGGCUUCUGUUCACGGAUCAAUCACUGCAGAACAGUUACAGCGUGUGAAAGAUGACAGGACAUUAAUGAAGUGUUUGUGUAGGUGAUGAUCAACACGUCCAGCGUUCAGAGCAUAAAGAAGAAACACACCGCUAAGAUCCUUCCCAACGCCAUCGCCAUCAUCACCACAGACAGACACAAGGUAUCAAUCCAUCAAUCCAUCGAUCGAUCGAUCAGACAGUGACUGACUCAGAACUCACGAUGUUUCUCGAGUCCCUCCAGAGUGAAACAGUGAAGUGCUCCUCUGAUGUUGCUGUGUGUGUUUCAGUAUCUGUUCGUGUCGUUACUGAAUCGAGAAGCGUGUUUCAAGCUGCUGCAGGCGCUCUGUACACAGCUGCAGGUUUGUGCUUCAUUUGUGCUCUAAGAGUCGAUAAUCAUUCAGUUCCAGUGACACCAGCAGUUUGCUGACUGAAGUGAGCUUUCCUCAGUCUGCUGAUGGUGUGAUGAUGUAAAUGAUUAGAAGUCUCAAAGAUUGUGUGUGUUCAUCGAUCUAAAGUGAGAUUGGUCUUUUCUGUCAGAUGGAGAGCAGCAGCAGGAUAUCCUCCUCUCCGGAUGUGGAGAUGGACACGAUUUCCAGCCUGUCGAGUCUAGAGGAGAAUCCUGAGAACCACACGAUUCAUCCCACAGACGAGAGUCAAACUCUCCAGCCAGAAGUACGAAGCAGCUCAGCGCCACACGACGAGCCGAGCAGAAAGAUCAGCUCGAGCACAGGUGAGCGUCACAGUCCUGCUGGACCACGGCAGCUGCUUCAUAACUUGCUGAGAAUCUGUGAUGAAUGCGUGUUUCCUGACGUUCACGUGUUCUCUGAUCUAGCGGUCUCCUGGGUAACCAUGGUAACAGAGAAGGUCAGCUCGGUUCUGUCGUCCAAUGACACGCGCAGCCUGAACACACUCCUGCUCUUCUACGUGAUCCUGUGAGUAUGAGACGAUAUCAGACUCAGAAGCUCUGAAUGACCUCCGAAGCGCUUCUUUCAGCUGAAACGUUCAAACAGAAUGAGAUCAAGCGAUCAAAGGCCAGGACUCUGGCUUCUGGCUUGUUGUGCAUCCACACACGAUCCUGUUUGGCUUCAAAACUCAGUCUCAGCACAUUAAAGCGACUGUGAGACGAAAGCAAGUGACAUUAGGAUAGUACAUAAUGAAUUGCAGCCAUUUGCUGUUUGAGCAACAGAUACUUCAGGGGUUUGAAAAAUGAAGUAAAGUGAAUUAAAGAUGCAGCGCUUGUGCAAAUAUCAGACACUUAAUGAGUUCCAGCAGCUCGGAAACACACCGAUGUUCAGAGACGCUCGUGUCAGGUCCAGCUUACAGGAAGAGUUCAGCCAAAAAUUUAAGUGAAUGCUGAAAAU
ensembl:lncRNA